GGGGGAAACGACGAGAAGCCAGAAAUAACGAAUAAUAACUCCGAAAGAAAUUCUACCCAGAUUUAUCUAAAUCUUCGGAAAAAAUUGUAAAAAUCCGUAUCGUGCUGUGAUAAAUUAUCCUUGGAGUUGAUUUCCACAAUUAAAUCAUAAUUUCUCACGUGUAAGAGAGACAAUAAAUGAGCUACUCCAAUUCGAUGAAAAUAUGUUGCUUGAUAGCAGGACUAUAUUUUCAACAGCAGGCCUCUUGAAGAAUCCACGUCGGAAACGUCACGUCUUGCAACAAUAUGGGAUGAUUGUGGGGAUCAAAUGUCUCCACGCUGCCUAUUAACAGGUAUCUAUGCUUCGAAAAAAUUCGAUGUUUCUGCUAUGAUGUGACAAAUGUAUACAAUUUCUAUGAGAUACGAGCUUACAGUAGCGUAAGUAUCCUGAAUCUUUGACGCUGCUGUAUCUUCUAUCCUUUUAGUUAUGAGCUUUUGAAGAACAAUGAUAACGAUAUUAUUGAAACUAAAAUCUUUAUAGAUCAGACUUUUAAACUUUUUCAAUAUAAUACAUUAUGUGAAUUGUGGAAUGUGCAUGAAAAUAAAGCCAUGAACUCAA